CCUCCGGCACUCGAAGGGGAGGCGCAAUUUCGGUUCCUCACGUUACAGCCUCUAGCAGUUUAGAGGUUCUUCCCACCUCUGCGGCGUCUGGAAGAAACUCGAGUCACUUCAGCCGGACUUUAGGGAAGGGGAACGACUAGGGAAGCACCCGGCCCCGGAGGAUGAAGGAGUGACAAGUCUUAACCCAGAUGGAGUCAGGUUUAACGUGUGAUUAUGAAAACAUAUGAAACGAUUAGACUAUCGAGAAAAUCUGAACACUGACUGGGUAUUUGCUGAUACUAAGAAAUUGUUGUUUUUAAAGAAGUCAACAGCCAUGCUGGGAAGAUACUUAAGCUGUCUUAUGGACUAUUUUACGUGGUGAGGAACUGAGGGCCUCCUGCCAACCCCUCAGUACUAGCUUGCUAGAGAUGUGUGAGAAGUGAAAGAAGGAAGGACUAGAGACAUAAUUUAAGAAAAUGAUGAUGCAAAAGGAUGAUGAUCCUGAAGACACCUAUCCCCAAGUAUUCUCUCUACAGGCAGGGCCAACAGGCACAGUGCAGGAGGAGAGUGGUCAGUGGCUCCAAGGAUGAGGGGAGGGAAAGAGCUGAAGAAAAGAGAUGUCCCUCAGAAAAAGUGUGUGAAACUAACCACAUGAAAAAGAGCAUUCAUAAGAAAUGAGUUUGAGAAUUAUUUUAUUAAGAAAAAUAUAGUGUCAAUAACAAAGCAGUAUGUAAAUUUUAAAAACUGCUUACAAAAUAAAUAAAAAAUUUAU